CCCUUGCAUAGGUUGCGUUUGGACAGAGAGAGACGAGAGGCCAGCAGCUGCAAACAGCAGAGACAGUAAUGACAUGGUGGCUUCACAAAACUGUAAGUCCAGUUGUAGGGGAGCUUGUAUUAGAUUAAAAAUGCUGCAGCCCUUAGACACAAGGUGCUGAACUACUAUACGACCACAUUGUUUGACUGAAGCUGGGGGUGUGGUGAGAAUAUUUAUAUAAACAUAUGAAGGAGUAAUUUUUGUCUGCCAGGAUUGCAUAAGAUCAAGUAUCAGAUAACCAUAUUUCUGAAUGGAGCUUAUUUGCCAGCCCAAAGGCUCCUUUGCCAGUUCUUUCAUGGUACCUUUGUGCUCUUACUGGUGCUUUGCCAUGGAACUCAAAUGUUUCCGAAGAAAUAAAUAUGCAGGUUUGGGUGCAUAUUUACUCUUAUGCUUCUGGUGUGUUUGUUGUAAACUGUCUCAACUCCAUCAACAGCAACUUUGAAGAAUUUGGUGAUGGCGUAGCAUUACUGAUCAGACAGAGCCUGGACCGGAGCCACAGUGGAAAUCGUGUACUUGGCAAGCAGACCCCUUCAGCAUUGUUCCACAUGAUCCCAAGUGAACCAAGCAAGAGCAUCCUCUCUUUGCAAAUGCAUCAGCGUGGGGGAUCUCAGACAGCACAGGACUGGAUUAAGAAUCCUGCCUUCAGGAAGACAAGUAGCAAACAUGAAUGCUUCAGUUCUGAAUGCCAUGGCCCUAACUUCUCCUGGCCUGAAACACAAAGCUUCCCUUCUUUGUACUGCAUUCAGUUGUACCUGCUUCUCACUCACCUGAUGUUCUCCUAGGAUUUUCUCAUGUCAUUGCUGUGUUGCAGUUACUAUGAGAAAGCAG
rnacentral:lncRNA from 1 species